GGAGCAACAGUUCUGCGUGAAGCGGGUCAGGGGAGGAAUCCAGCAGCCCUAAGCGAGUGUGAAUUGUGUGCUCUUUUUUCG
rnacentral:SRP_RNA from 5 species